GUCACCUGAAAUCUGAAACCAUAAUCUGCAAAAGAAACUUCCAAAUACAAAGGAUAUAUAAUUCAAUUGACUUUGCUAGAAUGAAAAAAAAAACCAACAAUUGGUUUUCUUAUUCUCCAUGUGGCCUUCGGUUUUUCCUCAGAGUUUCUGCUAGUAUUUGGAAACCAGGGGCUCGCGGUGGCAAAGCUAGGCUAGGACUUGGAGGCUUCUGGCAGGCGAGGCGGGUGGAGGAGGAAGGAGGCUGACAGAUCCACUGGGGGGAAGAAAAGCCGAACUGGAUUCACCGUGUCCUGGAUGGAAAAAAGAAGAGGAGGAGGAGGAAAAGGAGAAGGAGGAGGAAGAGGAGGUGGAGGAGGAAGAAGAGGAGGUGGAGGUGGAGGAGGAAGAGAAGGAGGAGGAGGAAGAGGAGAAGGAGGAGGAGGAAGAGAAGGAGGAGGAAGACAGAGAGGGGAACCGCUGAGCUCCUUCAACUCGAGCUGUCCGGUGAGAAGUAAGCAAGCCGGGACUGACAGGAGGCUCGGGGAGCACUCGCCUCCUUUCGCUUUUUUACCUGCCAAUCAAACCGCUAGAAGACAACACCCCGAUCUGGCUUGGACAUGACCUACAAGAUCUAGUGAUGAUGGAGGAGCCUUUGCAGCCUUCCAGAAAAUCAGGGUUCUGAAAAGUGGAAGAAAAAAAAUUGUCCGGGAAGAAUCACAGGAAAGUAAACAUUUUUUCUUCUUUGAAAGCUUGUGGGAACGCAGUGAUAGUUAAAGAAACCUGGAUUUCAGGAUGCCCAGAUUUCCAAGCAAUUAGAAAGCUGAUUUCAUGGUGCCCCAAGAUGAGCAGCUUUUAAAAUUCUAAUUUCAGGCUGUCCCUCAUAACAAUUCUCAGUGGGAUUCAGUAAACCACGUAAAAUGGUUUGCCAUUUGGGCUUGAACAUCGUUUGGGGAACUUUGUACAAGAUUCCAUCAGGCAGAAAAUGGGGAAGAGAAAGAUCCCCUCCUUUAAUGUCCAUUUUAGUAGAAAUAAAGGGUACAUUGUAUUUUUCUCUCUCGGGGUCCUGUUUGAUUCCUGAGCAUCAUCAUGUGCUAUAUACAUUAUUUUCACUAAUACCUUUCAUGGGAGACAGAACUGACAAUUAAUACCCACACCUAUACUACUGCUGAUGUAGUUUCAUUUUCUUUUCCUUUUAAUUCUCCUGUUUAAUAAGAAUUUAAGCAAAACAAACCAAAUACUAUUCCCACAGGAGAAAAACAAACAAAUAAAAGCAGAGGCAUUUUUCUAGUGCAAAAUAACCAUUUUGUUCAUUUUUAUUUUUAAAUUUGAGCAUACUAAAUUGAUGAAUAUUUCCAAGUUGUUUUCUCUUUCUUGUUUGUAUUUUUUGCUUUUCUUAAAAAAAAAAAAGGGGGGGGGAGAAAUCAGCUAUAAUAACAGCAUUCAAAUAGAUCCAGGAAGUCAGAGUAAAUGCUACAUAUUUUAAGAGCCCAUUGGGGGUGGUGUUUACCAUCCCUGUCAAAUGCUAACUCAGAAAGCUCAGCCCACUCCACCACCACCCCCCCAUUCUAACUUUUGAAUGUUGGGAGACUAUGCAAGUGCAAACCUUUGGGGGCAGGGAUGGAUGUUAAGGGAGCAGGCUUAAUAUUAAUAGCUUUUGUGGUCCAAGAGCCUGGUCUAUCAGUUCCUACUGAAGUAGUGCUGAGGACUCAAACACUUUCAUUCUUUAUCUUGCAUCUCUGCAAGGUGGAUUUUAACUUUUUUUUUUCUGGAUUUUUUUUUUUUUUAAUUUUCCUUUUCAGUAAGAAGGAUAAGCUUGGAGUAUCCAGUCGCCGUGGUAACUGCCAGAAAAAUCCUCCUGAAGUUUGAAGAGGUAUGAAAAGAAAAUUCUGGACAUCUAGAACUAUUGUUCUUAAAUUCUUCCCUUCAUUUAAAAAAAAGAAGACUUCUACAACUUCCCCAACCCUCUAGGAAAGUAAAAUAGAACCUUAUAGAAAGAUAAGGUUCUAUUAAGAAAGUCAACUGAAGCAUUUAGAAACUGAGCCUUGUAAAAAGUUUGGAUAUUUUGAUCUUCUUUCCUUACUAAGGAAGACAACCUGCAGAACUAAGAUAUGAAAAUAAAAUGCAUUUAUAACACUUUCAAAAAAUGAAACUUUGGGAGGGAAAGUUUGACCUUCAUCACCUGCCUUGACAGGUAUCCCUUCUGUAAUUUUUUGACUUCUGCUUGGAUGAUUUUAUUUAAGAAUAAGGACAUAGAUAUGGAGCUAGAAUUUGAGUACCUUCCCCAAGUAGACUUCCUUUGGUGAAUCUUUAUUUUUACAUUUCCCUACUUGAGUGCAAUUAAAAUGAACUUCUCUUUUCAUUUCCAUGAAUGUGGAAGAGUUUGCCUAAUUCUUCCAGCAAACAGAUCUAUCCCACAAAGGCUCUUAGGAAUAGAACUUCAGUGAAACCUCUGGACUGGGAAAAUCAGCUUUUUUGAUUGGAGGAGGAGGGGCAUUUUUAGGAGCUAGUUUUGGAAAUUACCAAUUUGACAUAAUUCUCUUUUGGGGUACGAAUAUUUUCCAAAUUGAAAUAGGAAAGUGGAUUGUAGGCUGUUCUCUUGGACAAGAAGGUGGCCAGUGUUUUAAAUUAAAUUAUUUCUGGUGUCCAUUUCAUUAAUAUAGCUGCUGAAUGAUUUAGAUUUGGUGUGUUUGUGGGUAAGUAAUCGGCCUCCUUAUUUUGGAAGUGAAUUAAAAAACUCUCAAUAACAAGAAUUUUGUUGUGUUUUUCCUCUUUUCUUGUUCCCUUUACCCAUACCUGUUUUACUCUUCAAAUUCUCUGGUCUGAAAAGAUGGGCUAAGGAACUCCAAGUAAUUUCAAGAAAAAUUAUGGUCCCUAAGAAUAUUUCUAUUGGAGCAGAAUAUGAGGGGUAGAUGGUAAGGAAGGUAUUUUCAGAAAUGAUUAUGAUAUAAAAACAGGUAUCAUUAAAACUAAAAAUUAUAAUUAUGAGAGGAAAUGGAAAAGGAUCCUAUGUGAUUAGAAGAUGUUUUAAAAAAAAGAGUCUAGCUGGUAAUGUUUUCUAACUUCCACCUAUACAUUUCCUGAUGAGGUUUUCAGCUCACCAGAAUGAUCCCCUAGUAUUUAAAGGGUAGGGACAAAUGAUGGAAAAUGAAUUUGGACAAUGUUUUGUUUUGUUUUGUUUUCCAUGUGUUGACAAAAUUUUGGAUUAAUUAACGCAUAUGGUUGGUUUUCAUUGUAGCCUAUCAUGGACAGAAAGGCAAAUGGCCUCUUUGGCAACCCCAAAGGAGUCUUGUCUCAUCGCUGCAUGUCAUUAUGCUUCUUCUCAUCUGAGACUUCGGGGACACUCAUGAAGCUCACUUCAGAGUUGCCUGGAAUGUGAUGCCUCAAGAAGACACCCUUCUCCCUAUUCUUUCCUUAAGAGAGGUGAUUGGGAGCCAGGGAGACUCAUUAAGCUGGAAAAAAUGUGGAAGAACACAGUUCAAUCUCUUGUCUCUCCUCACCAGUUCCCACUGGUUCAGUUAUCUCUAUGCAAACCAACUCCCCCACCUACAAAAUUAUCUCUCAUUUCACUCCAUUCCAACAUUUCCACUGAUAAAUUUCUGAUAGAUAUCUCCACCUGGAUGUCUCAUAAUCUUUUCCAAUUCAACAUGAUUAAAAGGAAAGUCAUAAUUUUUGCUCAGAAAUCCACCAUUCUUCCUAAUUUUACUCUUUUUAUCAAGGGUACUCCCAUCCUUCCAGAGGCCAGUGCUGGAAAUUUCAGAACAACAGCUGUAUUCUUCACACUUUGUAAUUCCUUGAAUUCCACCAGGGACCUCAUCUUGUCUGCCUUGUCCCUCCAAAUCUCUUUCAUAUCUUUUCCCUUCUUUCCUCUCACUCCACAACACUUUAGUCCAGUCCUUUUCCAUUAGUUAAGACUAUUUUAGGGUUAAAUUUUUUUUUCUCCUAAAUUCCAGUCUCUCCCCUUUCUCAUCCAUGAUUUUUUUUUUUUGGGGGGGGGAGAAUAAUUUCAUUUGAAUAGAUAACUCCUGCUUAAGGAAGAUUGGUCUACCAAAGUAGAUGAUCUACUCAACUGGAAUUUAGAGCCUGGGGGCAAAAAGGACUUAAAUCUUUCUUGAAGAGUCAAACAAGGGAGAAAAAGUUAUCAAAGACAAGUUUUGAACUCAGGUCUUCCUAACUUUGGCUGGCCUCACUACAUAAUCCAGCCUUUCCAAUAGAGUAAUGAGGUAAAAUAUAAAAAGUAAAGAAAAUGAAGGUUAAUGGAGUAGAAACAAUAGUUAAUCAUAUUUGUAUUCUAAACAAAGAAAAAGUUAUCCCCCUGCUUCUUGAGCCCUCAAAGUUAGGAAAUACAAAAGCAUUCUCAAAAAAAGGAAGCAUACUCCAAGAUUUACUGCCAUCCCAUAGUGCCUUCUGUUUUUAGUUACCUCUUCCUAUAUUUUUCUCCAAAUAUGGCAUCUUGCUUAUAAUAGGAACUCAAUAAAGGUUUUUCUAGAGUCUCAAUUUAA